AACAGAGUUGGGUCCCGCGCCCUUUUCCCCAAUGGCAGCGGAAGCCCUCUGCACCCCUUUCUGCAGACCCUCGUCUCCCGCGCCCAUCAUCGCGAUACCAGAUCCCGGCCCCGGAGACCGAUGUCGCCCGUCUUUUCCGUCCCUUCCAGCAACAGUUGCGCCGCCCGGUCGUCGCUACACGACGAUUCCCCCACCACCAACCCCGACCGCGGCCGCGACAGUUCCUUUCCCCGCUCUGUCAGAAGCCGCCCGACAAUCUGUUGUUCCGCGCUCUCCCCCGCGCCGCGUCCGCUUGUCUUCCCACCUGUGCGCCCUCGAUCCUAGCGCCAUUUAACCGGUCGCUUCUAUCACCUUUCCCGCACGACGACGCCCGCUCUCCGCCAAAUCCCAACCACCGGUCUACCCGCGC
rnacentral:lncRNA from 1 species